CAGCUYGUUGGUGCGGUAGUGGCGCACCAAGGCUUGACGGGUAGCCGGCCUGAGAGGGCGGUCGGUCACAUUGGGACUGAGAUACGGCCCAGACUCCUACGGGAGGCAGCAGUGGGGAAUUUUGCACAAUGGGCGCAAGCCUGAUGCAGCGACGCCGCGUGAGGGAUGACGGCUUUCGGGUUGUAAACCUCUUUUAUCCACCACGAAGGCCAGGUAUUCGCCUGGUUGACGGUAGUGGUUGAAUAAGCGCCGGCUAACUACGUGCCAGCAGCCGCGGUAAGACGUAGGGCGCGAGCGUUGUCCGGAUUUAUUGGGCGUAAAGGGCUCGUAGGCGGUUGAUUGCGUCCGCCGUGAAAGGCCUCGGCUUAACCGGGGUUUUGCGGUGGAUACGGGUCGACUUGAGGCAAUUAGGGGAGAUCGGAAUUCUACGUGUAGCGGUGAAAUGCGCAGAUAUGUGGAGGAACACCGGUGGCGAAGGCGGAUCUCUGGGAUUGUUCUGACGCUGAGGAGCGAAAGCGUGGGGAGCGAACAGGAUUAGAUACCCUGGUAGUCCAUGCUGUAACGUGGCGCUAGGUGUGGGGUCACGUUGGUUGAUUCUGUGCGUAGCUACGCAUUAGCGCCCCGCCUGGGGAGUACGCGCAGCUAAACUCAAGGAUUGACGGGCCGCACAGCGCGGAGCAUGCGAUAUCGAUGCACGCGAG
rnacentral:rRNA from 1 species